AAUGGGCCAAGCCCAACAAGUCCACGUACGUGCGGAAGGCACAUACAGACCCUGAUUCAGGAGUCUGCCCACGCCCGCCAGCGCCAUCUCCUCCUUCGUCCACCCCCGGCGCCGCCAGCGCCAUCUCCGCCUUCGUCCAUCCCCCGCUCCACCAGCUCCACGCUCAUCGCAUACUCCAUCGGGCACGAGGUCUGGAUCUCCAGGGCGGGCUUGUCGUUGCCGAUCUUAUCAUCGUCUGGUACAUCUCCCGCUCCGUUUGCGAAACCAAAAUGGAUACUCUCGCAUGGGCGCUCGCCACCGCUGCUGGACGACAACGUCGUGAAGCUGCUGCUCUUCUUCACCGACAGCAAGCCUUCCUCCGGUCUCACUUCAUGCCCGGUACUCAACCCAAUCCCCUCCCAUCCUUCUUCCCUCUCUCGAUCUAAACCUAACGCGAAUCAGAUUAACAACGUGACCCCGAGGACUAGCUCCGGUAGCAACUUGACGCGUGGAAUCGAGCAGAUCUAAUCGAAUCCUUCCCGAUUUUGUUAAAAUUCUGAUUCUGGUCUUUGGCAACCGGAGUACCUUUUCUCGUCCAAUCCGCGACCAGGUUCUCUGCUCCGGUCGCUCCUCGCCUCGCCUAGGAUGGGCAGGGCCAGAUGGGGUGAGCGUCGCACCUGAGUUGGGAGGGGAAAAGGGGGUGGGCGUCGUGCAUGGCGUGGUUGGGGACGGAAUCGUGGGUGAGGAACCGCUACUGAUUUGGAGCUCCUGAAGCUCGUGGAUGGCGUGCUGCGAGCAAUUUAGGCUAGCUCCAGAUGCCGCUUGUGCCCUCCCAUCCCAUCUCUCUGUCAUGGCCGAGUAAUUUGGUACUACUAACUUAGGAUUGGGAGGAUUCAGAUGAUGCUGUGAGAUUGAAGGAAAUUGCUACGCUUGGAAGCGUCACAAACCCCUGUUCUCUGUUUCCAGGUGAGAGGUGGAUUGUUCGAACAAUUAAGUAUGCGAGGGCACGCUUUAGUGGAUUGUUUCUCAUGCCAUUUUCUCUGUAGACUGCAAGCCCAAAUGCCUCCAUGGUCUCAAUCAGGAACGCCUCUCUGCAGCCUUUAUGGCCUGAUCAAUGGAGCCAGCACAAGGAUAACUGCAUCGAACUGGUUGUCGUAUCGAUACAGCGGAAGAAGCGCGCCAUCGGGAGGUGAUGCACGGCCUCGGUGUGUACGACGUCACAUGUGCGCUCUCCGGCGAGUGGACAUUGGAGAAGGAGGUGCUCCUCCGUUACCAUAGCUCCAAUACAGCUUGCAAACUCAUUGAGCUCGGUUGAAGGUACUUUGUGGAGGAGAACCGUUCCAAGCAGGGAACAGGUGGGGGAGGCGUCCGGUGGAGGGAAACGGGACUGGCCGAGACGAGGUUCGGCCGGACUUUGGCAGCCGACGACAGCGGUCACCACAGGACUCGUCUUGCCUCUUCUUCUGCGGAAGGGAGCACCUCCACAAAUUGCUUAGUGCUGCGGCUACUAUUGUCCUGCUGGCUGCUGUUGUACUAAAUGUAUGUGAUGCUGGGUAUAAAUUCUGGCCUAAAGUUCUUUCGAAAGUCAUGACGUUAGUUGUGGUCAACCUACUGAUCAAUAUGAUAAGAGUUUUCUGCAGCGGCAUCAUUGCUGGGUUCAUUGAGUUGAACCCUUUUGCUGUGAUCUUAUUUUGUCCGCCCCUUCCUACUGCAUCUUAUAUGUUUAUUUCAGACAAAUAUGGUCGAUUGUAUAACAGUAUGAAUUUGAAGCUCAAUUGCAAGAAAAGGGGCGUAGUGAGACUUUCACCGCUGAGUUCUUGAUCAUUGAUCUGAAUGUUUCUAUCAAAAACAAUCUUUAUUUGAGUGUGCAUAUUGUGAAGCUUUGGGCGUUUCAGAUAUCCAUAUCCCUGUACAGUCUGAAGAUUGGAGUAGGUCUGCAUUUACCUUUUUACAAAAGUGAGAUAAAUAAGACACCCUGUACAUGGUUCGAUUUUAAUUGGUUUUAGUAUAUUUUUUCAGAUCACAGUAGUUAAUUUGUGUGCUCUUCUAAUAUGCACUGAUUCAUGUUUUAGGGCAAUUUCAAGGUUGGUGCAUAUUUCUCAAAAUACUGGGAUAAGUGCACAUUGCUCCGUUUCUUGUAGGAGUACAUUGAACAUUCCAUUGUUUCUGAAAAUUCUAUAUUGGUGUGCUCUUUUGUCAGCAAUUAAUAUGAAUACUAUGAACACAAUCACAAGGAAUGCUACGGAGGUUGUGCUUGCCCUUGGUGAUGAUUCAAGAGUUGACGUAUCCUUUCUAAAGUGACAACAAAGGUAUGACAACAAAACUGAUAUAUAGUUUCCACUGUGCAGGCCCCUACACUUAUUUACUUUUCCUUUCUGCUAUAUUCAUAAUGAUCCAGCAAUCUUACUGCUGCAAUUUAUUUAAUGAUUCAUCACAAGUUAGAAUCAUUGUGGAUGUAUAUUCGGUGAGGCCAUGACAUGUCAUCUCGGGUGGUUCCUGAAAAUAAUUCCUUAUUUCAUAUAUGGAGUACAAGCAAAUGCAUUACUUUUAGAAUAUGUUAGGACCAAUGUCGGUUUUCAAGUAUUUUCCUUAAUUUGUAGAUUAACUUUUUCACGAAAUGGUAGCUUGAUGUAGCGGGCUAAGCCUGCAUUAGUCUUCUCUAAACUUACACAUGACAAUCUUAAGAGGAUUUCAUUUCUAUUGUUGUAUACUGGCAUGAGCCCACACAUCAGGAUACAUUCCAAAUCAGUUGGUACUGAAUAUAUUUACUUCAUGCUAUACAUGGUUAAGCUACUAGCUUCUCUAAUCCAUAUUUCGUUUUUUUUAACCAUGUGCAGAUAUUAUAUCAACGACUAUUUCACUUCAUAUGAGUGACACAUGUUACCUGAUUCUGCAUUUAUUAUUCCUAUUUUAGGACACCAUUUUGUAUAUGCACAACUGAUAUAUACCUUUCACUAUGCAAGCGCCUACACUUAUUUACUCUUUCAAUUUUAGGUAUUGUCACAAUGAAUAUUCAAUGCCGUUUGUAGUCCCAGAGUUGGAAAGAUACAUGUUCUUUAAUGCAUUAUUUAUUAGUCUUUCCAUUGGUUGUACACACUUAGUACUUUAUUUCUAUGUAUGUAUUUCUCUGUACAUACAAACUUAUGAAUAAUUUAGUAAUAUUUAUUUAGCUGAUUACUUCAGAAGUUUCUCUGUAUACUUUGAACUGCAUGGUUUGUUGUGAGCACAGCACACACAUUGUUCCUGAAUCUUCCAGCUGCAAUAAAGUUGUUGGUGAAGUGAAAGGAACUUGCAUUUGCUUUUGGUGAUGCAGCAAUCAAUUUUGGUUCUAUGUUGUCAUCUUCCUUGCCGGGAAUACUUUAUACUUAUUACAAUUUUGCUUUUGAUGAAAUCUGGUCAAAGAGUUCUAAUUGUUGAAUUCUCUGAACUGACUUGAAAAGUAUAGUACUGAAUGCUAAGCGUGGGCUUGGUAUUGUUUUCGGGAAAUAUUGAGGACUGAGUUACACUCUGAAAGCUCCAGAGAAGCUGACAAGAAAGGCGUUGAUAUUAGUUCAGACAAAUUACAGAGAGGCCCCCACAAGAAAACAAAAUUACAGACCAGCCCAAUUGUAAAACGACCACGCCGGCGACACCGCAGUGCUGUCGGUGGCAUGCCGCUGCUCCUACUCCCCUAGACGCCAUGGAUCGGGAGCAUCCCCAAGCCAGCGGGAAGUCGCCGAGCACCGAUCCCGAAGGAUCUACACCGGAGGCCGCCGUCGUCGCCGCGCUGAACAACACCAACACCUUGCAGAACUUCAGUUAAGGCCCUGUUAAGGCCGAGGUAAUAGUUCUCGGGAGAAGCAAUUUCAGUUUUCUACUGUAAUGCUUUCAUAUCCUUUAUUGUGUUUAUGUGCCCCGAUAAUGGUCACUUGGAAAAUCGACUAAGAAUUUGCAAAUCGAUUUGUAAACUUGUGCAAACAACCAUAUACUCACGGAGAUGGAUGGCUUCUCCGGCAACAAUGGUGUAGCCCUGCUCUUAUAUUAUUGCCUGCGUGAAAUGUGCCAUACUUGCUCCGGUAACCAAAAAUCCUGGACAUUGUGAUCUUCAGUGCUCCCCUAGCUCUUCCGUUAUGAUGAUUUCCGGUCCCUGUAAAUUAUUUGCUCACAAUACAUAGUGAAUCUGAUGUUUCAAAUGCAACGUUGUGGCAGGCUAUGGGCUACAGACCUACUAUUAUUAGGCAAUGUGGCAAGUGGUUAAUUGUGGUGCUGUAGAUUAUUAAACCAGACCAUCUGGUACACGAUAUGUAUGAGGAAAAUCAGGUGUCCAAGUUUUCUUUUUUACCUCAAUGGUAGGUUCAGUAUAUCGCAACAAAUUCCUAUGAGAAUUUAGGUUUAGAUAAUAUUAGCUUAUAUGUCUUGGUUGACUUUACGCCAACUCAAUUUAUAUGAGUUAGUUAUCGAUUUUUUUUUUCAAUAUUAGCAAAAAAACUUUUCCCUGUAAUAUAUGCAAUGCUGAUUCAAGGUUGUAUUGCAAUCACAUGUCUUGUGUACUGAUCUUCUUUGUCCAUUUGGGAAAUUGUCCACGGUCAAUAUCACUAUGUGCUCUAUGUUUUAAUUUUGUCGGUUUUCAUUUCUCAUUAUAUUAUUCGCAUAAUUACUUCAGAUCAUCAUUUGAAUACAAUUGUAUUUUUGAAUAAAACAUCUAUCUGUAGUUAAUUAAUCCAACCUUCUUAUCAUAAUGUCAUAUCCCCUUUUUCAGAUAUACUAGGGGAGAAACCCGUGGCAGCGGUGGGAGGCAGUGUAGGAGCAAAUCCUCUCGCCAGUGGUGGGGGGAGGCAGAUAAGGGGCGGCUGUUGGCACCGGCAGAUAAGGGGUGGAUGUCGGCACCGGCGACAGGGAGGCAAUGAAGGGGAUGGUCGACGCGGCUUGACGAGGGAAAGUGAAGACAACAUCGGAGGUUGAGAGUGUGAUGUGUCCGGUUCGUGCUGUCAUUCUCUUUUCUUUCCAUAAUCCAUAGUAGGGCAUACACCUCUCUUCUUUUUCUCUACAGUGUGCCAAUGAAGUGAGCUACUUCAUCAAUUUAUACACUUCUCAGUAGGCAAUGAAAUAAAUGUUAGGUUUUCUUUGGUCCAGCUAGCAUUAGAAGUGCAUGAUGUUUUCUUAUCAUUGAUCUGAAUGUUUUCCUUGGUUCAAAGCAAUAAGAAAAUUAUAUAAUUGCCAUUCUUUCUUUUCUUGGAGCAUUAAGUCUUCUCUUUUCGUUAAUAUAUUGAGCUUAAAUAUUACCUGAGGUCUAAAGUACCAUCAGCUUCUAUGGAAACUGAAGCGGUUGUUGUAUAUUUGCAUGGAUCUGAAUAUAAUCAUUACCUUUAUCAGAACCAGCACAUGAGUCCUUUGGCAGAACCAACAUCUUAGCCCUAGAUUUCUUCUUUGGCCUGACAACCUUCUCGAGAAUAGGUACUAGCCUGCACCCGUUAUUCUCCAGACUACUACGUGUAAACCUACGAUUCUCUGGCUCAACGCCUCAACCAUAGCUGGUUGCACCUUUCUUAGACCAUAUAACUUACUUAAGUAGCUAAUUAAACCACACACAGGCAAAAGGUAAAAAGCAACUUGAUUAAAUACAAGUAUAUUUCUAAAAACAUGUGUUAUUAUAUUUAUAAAUAUCAAUGUGUUGUUUGGACUAAUUAGAAAAAAAGUACUCCUUCAGUUAUGACGGCCUAGAACACUGGUGUGGGACCGCGGAAGAGUAAAGAAGGCCUAAAACUUGGAAUCACAUAGAUGCACAACAAUGGUUUCUUUUAUUACGUUCAAUAUUAUCAUGUUGUAGUACAUUAUGAUAUUCCUGAUUUGAUUUGAAUUUUCAUAGAAAAUUGUAAAUUAUAUAUGUUCAUUGAAAAAUAACGACCCGUUGCAACGCACGGGCAGUUGUACUAGUUCU